rnacentral:rRNA from 1 species
GACGAACGCUGGCGGCGUGCUUAACACAUGCAAGUCGAACGGAGUGGCGAACGGGUGAGUAACACGUGGGUGAUCUGCCUUGCACUUCGGGAUAAGCUUGGGAAACUGGGUCUAAUACCGGAUAGUGCAAGAUGAGCUCGCGGCCUAUCAGCUUGUUGGUGGGGUAAUGGCCUACCCAGGCGUCGACGGGUAGCCGGCCUGAGAGGGGGGACGGCGACAAGGGGCCUAAGGUACGGCCCAGAGUCCAACGGGGGGCAGCAGUGGGGAAUCUUGCACAGUGGGGGGGAGCCUGAGGCAGAGACGCUGCGUGGGUGAUGAAGGUCUUGGGGUUGUAAACUCCUUUCGACAGGGACGCGGUACCUGUAUAAGAAGCACCGGCUAACUACGUGCCAGCCGCCGCGGUAAUAC